rnacentral:lncRNA from 1 species
UGCACACUGACUCGGUACUGGUACCCCAUAUCUUAUUGUUAUGUUAUUGUGUUACUUUUUUAUUAUUUUUUUCUUUCGUUUAUUUGGUAAAUAUUUUCUCAACUCGUUUUGAACUGCACUGUUGGUUAAGGGCUUGUAAGUAAGCAUUUCACGGUAAGGUCUACACUUGUUCUAUUCGGCGCAUGUGACAAGUAAAGUUUGAUUUGAUUUAGAUCGCUGCGCAACUCGGGAGCCCCAACGUCUCAUUAUGUAACAAAACAAGCAAUUAUAGUGUAGAGAAUCAUUGUACCAUCUAAACGGCUGUGAAAUAUAUUUUCCAUAACCAAAAAUAUUGUAUUUCUGCAAAAACCGAAAGCAAUAGAUGCAAAAACAAAACUUAAGAACGGGAAGCAUAGUAAUAGUGCACAUAGAACAUAUCUACGGCUUCUUAGACUUGCUUUCAAUGAGAAUUAAAUAUCUAUAACACCAUUUCUAUUUUAAUUUGGUCAGGUCACCCAAAAAGUUACAUAUUACAGUUUUAACAGAGUAUGACAACCAGGCAGAGCUAAUUCAAGGCCACGCCUGCAACAAGCCACACCUCCAGAUCCUCUAGUAGGCUGUCCCCGCUAAAAUAUGUUAGUGUUUUAUUUUUCAAUAAUUUGUUAUGUUAGAAUUUUGCUUCCACUUUGAAAUGAGUAUUUUGUCUAGAUCGUUGACCAAAAAUGACAAUUAAAUCCAUUUUAAUCACACUUGAAUAAGAAAAUGUGGAAAAAGUCGAGGGGUGUGAAUACAUUCUGAAGGCACUGUAUCGAUGCUUUAAGAAGUGUGAUGCGUCUUGCUGUCUUCAGAAGCCAACUCCAAUCUCUCUGUGGUUUGUGGGUGGAAAAAGCACAUCAUGCAUCUUUUUUGAGCUAGCACUUGUGUGUAUGACAGUUCAACUUUUGAUCGGUCUGGCAAGCUAUGGCAUGAUGGUAAACUGGUUGAUUUUUAAGAGAAAUUCCACAGAAAAACUGUUAUUCUCAAGAUGUCCCCUCCAACUGGUUAUUCUCCUAUUGACCUUGUGCACCACAACAAAUUCAGGCAGGCCCAAUGUCCCAGGAGAAAGUAUAUGGGCUAUAUUAAACAAACCCAUACAGUUUUCUGGAUCCGGCAUACCCUUGAAACUAAUCAAAACAGUGGAAUGGCGUCACAAAAGUGGAAACUCACAGACAUUCUGUCUUGACCAUAAAAUGGAUGGGAACAUCACCAAAAUAUACCCUGCAUGCAAUGGCGCUGCACACUUCCUUUCCCACAAUAAAACCUUUGUUCUAGACUCAGUGAGGGCAGAGGAUGAAGGUGUCUAUGAAGAAAGAGUGAUUUAUAAGAAUAACACUCUGGUCUCAUUAAAUAUAUCACUGUCAAUCAUUUCUCCUCCCUCCACUCUGCACAUCAGUGUAAACUUCUCCCACACGCUGCUAACAAUGACUUGUGAGGUCAAGGGGUCAAACCUCUCCUAUUGGUGGCUGAAGGAUGACCAGCCCUUCCUCAAAGAUUCCAGAUGGUUAUUGGGUGAGAGAAACCAAACCUUACAGGUGAACAACCUGACCAAGGCUGACUGUGGGAAAUACAUCUGCUUGGUGGCCAACAAGGCAGGCCAGUCACGGGGCCACUUCCAACUCACAGAUAACCAAUCCUCUGUGUGUAAGGAUGGAAUUGUCCGAGCCACACUGCCGAUAGGCCAGAGAGAAUUUCUAAUCAUGGUAAUAUUGGGCAUCUGCAUAUUCGGCCUGCUCAUCAUCAUUGCCUGCAUCAGGAGAUAUCACCAGGAAAUACGGAAGCAUCUGGCAGGACUUUGCAACAAGGAGCAGCAUCCUGUCAGAAACAGGAGAGGAAGGAGAAGAGACAGAGACACCCCCGUGACCGAAAAUCAUGUGUAUGAUGAGAUUGGAGAUGAACAGGAGCAGCUUGAACAAGAGGAGGUGAUCCCAUUGCCAUACAUCUACACAGACUUCCUUCCAAACAGAAAACGAGCAGAGCCCCUAGAGGACUUUGGGUACUCCACCAUCGGGCCAGCUAGCCUAAGUGGAGUCACAGUGAUCGAGGCAAGCGAACAAGGUCUUGAAUGUAGGUCCCUAGUGGAGACAGCGUAG